CCUCCACUCGCGGUUGCGUGUUGCUAGCGUGGACAUUCUGGCUUCUGGCAUCAAUGUAACGAAGAUGACAAGUGACGAGACAGAGAUAAAAUGGAAAUAGAGAAUAAGUAAUAUGACAACGGGAUUUGUGUGAUUGAUUAUAUUUUUGUAUUUACUGAACGUGAUUUUUUUAUAUAUACGUUUUAUUGCUUAAAUAAACAGCUGGAAAUAUGCGCACGUAAAGCGCAUUGUAAUUAAAUGAUUGAAAGAUUACAAUAGAAGGUUAAAUAGUAUAUACGUAUUUUGAUCGAUAUGAGAAACAAUAUUAUCGCACGAUAAAGAAAGCCAUGUAAUGGUUAGAUAUAAAAAUUUGUCAAUUUUAAUUUCGUUCGACUCGGCAAGCAGCUGUCAAAUCUAACCUAGAAAUGGAGCAAAAAAACUCAUCAAAUGAUACAGUGUCCAGCCAAAAGUCACUGCCAUCUUCUUACGAUUCUGGUUGGAACGAUCCACCAGAGUGGGCACUGUCUUUACAGCAUAAUUCCUCUAAAACGAAGAAACUCUUGAACAAGCGAGUGGCAUUUCCAUUAUCUUCACAGACCUCUACUGCAGAAAAAGUUAGUUCAUCUCUUCCGUCAAAUACUCCUCCCAUUUUACAAUCUUCGAUGGUUCCUACGAUAACUACAGCUCCCUAUAAGCCUCUUGUGGCAUCUAUGGAUAAAAAAUUUACAACAAUGACAUUGGACUCAGAUUUUGAUAAAGAUCAAGCUCUUACAGAAGUUUUGACCAAUUUAAAAUCAGUAAUGACAGGACAAAAGAUGGAGAUGAAUAUGAUAGAAGAAAUAGAGAAGAGAUUAGAUAUCAUGGAAACUGAUUGGCGUGAAAAUAAAUUGAAUAAUAUGAUACACAGAAGUGUUUUGGAUAUAUCGAAAGCAUUGUUGAGGAAAGAUAUUGAACAAGCCAACAAGAUCCAUAUUGCUCUUAUGACGCAACAUGUAACUGCUUGUCGUACCUGGAUACCAGCUAUUAGGCACAUUAUUUUCGAACUAAAAAAAGAAUGUGAGAAUUCUAAUGUCUCACAGCCAGAACAGUCACCUCUAUUAUCUGUUGAAUUAAAGAAAAAAUCGAGUGAAAAGAGUUAAAUGAAGUGAAACAAACACACGUAAGGGAAGAACGUCAAAUCGAUGAUGGAGACAACACUUGGCGUGUCCAACGUGUAUCGCGGACCAAUAGAUACACCACCCCUACUCUACGCGUCACGUGAUUGUUAGAUAAAUGCUUUGUACUCAGCCGACCCGAAGGGUGUAUGGCAACUGAUUGAUUAGCGGAAGCUGCAGGAUCUACAAAUUGUCCAUUCAACUGCCUCUGAGAUGUCGAAACUACUGUUUGUCCUCCAACUGGAGCCAGUGGUGAGGGCUGUCCCGUGAUGGUGUAUUGUCCCGUCGUCCCGGCUCGUUGAAAUGCAGACUGAUCCGCCG